rnacentral:rRNA from 1 species
GGUUGUAGCAAUACAGCAGUGGCAGACGGGUGAGUAACACGUGGGAACCUUCCUCGGGGUACGGAACAACGCAGGGAAACUUGCGCUAAUACCGUAUACGUCCGUGAGGAGAAAGAUUUAUCGCCCUGAGACGGGCCCGCGUCGGAUUAGCUAGUUGGUGGGGUAACGGCCUACCAAGGCGACGAUCCGUAGCUGAUCUUAGAGGAUGAUCAGCCACACUGGGACUGAGACACGGCCCAGACUCCUACGGGAGGCAGCAGUGGGGAAUCUUGGACAAUGGGCGCAAGCCUGAUCCAGCCAUGCCGCGUGAGUGAAGAAGGUCUUCGGAUUGUAAAGCUCUUUUGCCAGGGACGAUAAUGACGGUACCUGGAGAAUAAGCCCCGGCAAACUUCGUGCCAGCAGCCGCGGUAAUACGAA